ensembl:lncRNA
GGCCUUCCAGACCAGUGGCUCUCUCUGAGGACCCAGCAUCAGUGAUCCUCCAGCGGGCUGCAAGAUAACUUCAAAUUAACUUGAAUAUAACCAUAUAAUCAUUACUUUUAUGAUUAAUAUGUUAAAAUAAAUUGCUUCGGAUCAGCCCAAGCUAUUUCUCAUCGCGAAAUACCCAACCGUUGCAGGAGUAUUUAAUACGCAAACUACAGCUCUCAUUUGGAUAAAGCAAACCAGAGUCACUGAUGAUGUUUAGAUAGAUGAUGACAGUAAGGUAAAGACCAUAACAGUGACAUACAGGAGCCGUACAUUAUGUCCAAACCGUGUAUGUGCGCUCUCCGUGCACUGAUCACUAUAACAUCAUAUUUCUGCAUGAUCCCAGUUCAAUAUAUUCAUGUAAAUGUCAAAAUAUAGUACUAUGCAUGUUUUAUAAUGGAUACUCCCCCCGAAGAAGCAUGUUUUCAAGGAGUUUGCGAGGAUCGGUGGUGUUAAUGUACAUAUGGGCAUCAGUCCUCAAUGGUCAUCGAGUUUCCACAGAUUCACAAUGGUUUUAUUUUUCAUAUAAAAUGUACAUUUAGAAAGCAUUUUGGUGUAUUCUAUUGGUUGUAUUAGAUUUUGCUUUAUUUCACAUCACAGCUAUUCAUGCUCUAUUGCCCUGUUUCACAGACAAGGCUUACGGCUAGUCCCAGACUAAAAUUAAUGUUUGAGUCUCAACUGACAAUAACUUGCCCUCACAUAUCUUUAAAGGUGUCAGUGCCAUUGUUUUGUCUCAAGACGCACACCAGUAAUGUUUUUUUCUAAUGCAUUUUUAUAAAAGCGCAUUAAAUAUCCUAAUUUAACUAAGGCAUAUGUCACGGGGUGACGAAAGAGAAGCGGAACUAAGUCCCGUUGGAAUUGUGUUCCCCCCGGGACGGUGUCGCGGUAACACCGGUCCACUUCCGGGUUGCGCCCGAUGUCACAAUAACAACGCUAAUGAUAGAUUGACAUCUGGUGUGGGGAGUUUGACGUGGCGAUCUGUGAGAGGAUUAUGGAGGCGGAGUAACCACAUAAAAAGAGAAGUGCAGAGACCAAAAGGGAGGGGAAUUUCUGGGACGUUUGGGCUGGCGUGUGGAGGUAUUCGAGGACUAUUGUGGGGUUUCGGCUAUCUGGCUGUGCAACAGUUAUAUCAGCGAUCGAGUGGAGAUAUUCGGGACAGAAAGAGUGUGAGUUCUGGAAAGCAAGUGGAGACCAGGCCGCGCCAUCACUAUCGGAGGGAAGUUAAGAGACCUGAUCUGGGACUUCGAUCAAUUGUAUACAUCUGGACUGGGAGUGAUAACGUGGUGAAGUGGACGGAGCCAUCGUUGGAUCGCAGGAUCCUCUGGGCUGAACGCCGCAUGUGAUGUCCCUAUGAAAGGAGAUCGCAGGAUCCUCUGGGCUGAACGCCGCAUGUGAUGUCCCUAUGAAAGGAGGUGGACACAAGAAUUAUUCUUUUCCCGGUUACAACCGAAGCAUCUCCCAGCCGUAAGCCCCAUUACUUAUUCAAGAACACAUACUUACUGUUGGUUACUUACUCUGCUGUGCAGAUCGCAGGAUCCUCUGGGCUGAACGCCGCAUGUGAUGUCCCUAUGAAAGGAGGUGGACACACGAAUUAUUCCUUUCUCGGUCUUAACUGAAGCAUCUCCCAGCCGUAAGCCCAUCACCCAUUAAAGACUACAUACCUGCUGUCGAUUGCUUACUCUGCUGUGCAGAUCGUAGGAUCCCCUGGGACGAAUGCUGCAUGUGAUGUCCCUAUGAAAAGAGAUUGCAGGAUCCUCUGGGCUGGACGCUGCAUGUGAUGUCCCUGUAAAAGGAGGUGGACACGAGAAUUAUUCCUUUUCCCGGUCUCGACCGAAACAUCCACGAGCUCUACUUACCCGGAUAUCCCCCCCUCAUUCCGGGACGGGUGACAGACUAUCCUGGCUCUUGCCGGCCCCGUACAGGCACGAACUGCCGACGACUCCACGCCUCCCCGGCGUCCGAGGUCUGGCUUCGUUCUGGUCGGGAGACACUGAAGGAACACUGAACUUUUAAAUUGCUUUUAACCAAGUAAAACCUUGUUCAAUUUUUUUAUACUUUCGUCCGUCUGGUUCUUCUGGUACGCUCUCUGAGGUGAUCCUGGGUUUCAGGGGCGGGUGCAGUCCGGCUUGGCCCCCCCGACCUGUGACACAUAGUCCUGGCUCAAGCUAAGAAAUGUCCGUGAAGCCUAUCCCCUGGUUUCACAGACAAGGCUUAAGCCUAGUCCCAGACUAAAGUGUAAAUCUGAGCUGUUUUAACUGAAAGAAACUUGCACUGACUGAUCUUAUAAUAUAUCAGUGCCUUUGUCUCAAGAUGCACACCAGUAAUGUUUUUUUCUAAGGCAUGUUAAUAAAAAUUACUCAGAUGUCUUAAUUGAACUAUGG